CAUCCUGCGAUAUGCGGAAUUUUAGGAGCCAGAAGGCUGCUCUGAGCCACCGGCCCUGCAACACCAACGCUGCCCCUUUUCCCAGUUUGCAGGAGGUACUUGGCACUCUCAAACCAGCCUGACUUGGCACUGGUGCCAGCUUGGUCCUGGGAGGCAUCCUGCGAUAUGCGGAAUUUUAAAAGCCAGAAGGCUGCUCUGAGCCACCGGCCCUGGAACAAAAAACCGCCCCUUUUCCCAGUUUGCAGGAGGUACUUGGCACUCUCAAACCAGCCUGAGUUGGCACUGGUGCCAGCUUGUUCCUGGGAGGCAUCCUGCGAUAUGCGGAAUUUUAAAAGCCAGAAGGCUGCUCUGAGCCACAGCCC